UCCUUCUUAGCUCAGUGGGUAGAGUGCGUCACUAGCAUCUACUUGACCAUUCAGUUUACAAAAUGACGAGGUCAGUCGUUCAAGUCGGCUGGAUGGUG